rnacentral:ncRNA from 2 species
UCGUUCGUAUAUUAUGCUGCCUAUAUAAGUUUGAUAAUAUGGAUCAAGCGUCUCUACUUAGUAACCGUAAAUUACUAAACUAUGGGUAGUUUAUAUUAUUGC